AUGAACGCUGGCGGCGUGCCUAAUACAUGCAAGUCGAGCGAACAGAUGAGGAGCUUGCUCCUCUGACGUUAGCGGCGGACGGGUGAGUAACACGUGGAUAACCUACCUAUAGGACUGGGAUAACUUCGGGAAACCGGAGCUAAUACCGGAUAAUAUAUUGAACCGCAUGGUUCAAUAGUGAAAGACGGUUUUGCUGUCACUUAUAGAUGGAUCCGCGCCGCAUUAGCUAGUCGGUAAGGUAACGGCUUACCAAGGCAACGAUGCGUAGCCGACCUGAGAGGGUGAUCGGCCACACUGGAACUGAGACACGGUCCAGACUCCUACGGGAGGCAGCAGUAGGGAAUCUUCCGCAAUGGGCGAAAGCCUGACGGAGCAACGCCGCGUGAGUGAUGAAGGUCUUCGGAUCGUAAAACUCUGUUAUUAGGGAAGAACAAAUGUGUAAGUAACUAUGCACGUCUUGACGGUACCUAAUCAGAAAGCCACGGCUAACUACGUG
rnacentral:rRNA from 1 species